rnacentral:rRNA from 1 species
UACGUAGGGUGCAAGCGUUGUCCGGAAUUAUUGGGCGUAAAGAGCUCGUAGGCGGUUUGUCGCGUCUGCUGUGAAAACCCGAGGCUCAACCUCGGGCCUGCAGUGGGUACGGGCAGACUAGAGUGCGGUAGGGGAGAUUGGAAUUCCUGGUGUAGCGGUGGAAUGCGCAGAUAUCAGGAGGAACACCAAUGGCGAAGGCAGAUCUCUGGGCCGUAACUGACGCUGAGGAGCGAAAGCAUGGGGAGCAAACAGGAUUAGAAC